UACGUAGGGUGCGAGCGUUGUCCGGAAUUACUGGGCGUAAAGAGCUCGUAGGUGGUUUGUCGCGUUGUUCGUGAAAACUCACAACUCAAUUGUGGGCGUGCGGGCGAUACGGGCAGACUGGAGUACUGCAGGGGAGACUGGAAUUCCUGGUGUAGCGGUGGAAUGCGCAGAGUAUCAGGAGGAACACCGGUGGCGAAGGCGGGUCUCUGGGCAGUAACUGACGCUGAGGAGCGAAAGCGUGGGGAGCGAACAGG
rnacentral:rRNA from 1 species